rnacentral:rRNA from 1 species
UACAGAGGUGGCAAGCGUUGUUCGGAAUUACUGGGCGUAAAGGGCGCGUAGGCGGUUCGAUAAGUCCCGUGUGAAAUCCCUCGGCUCAACUGAGGAACUGCACGGGAAACUGACGGGCUUGAGUUCGGGAGAGGGAAGCGGAAUUCCGGUGAGUGAGCGGUGAAAUGCGUAGAUAUCCGGAGGAACACCGGUGGCGAAGGCGGCUUCCUGGACCGACACUGACGCUGAGGCGCGAAAGCUAGGGGAGCAAACGGG